GUGCCAGCAGCCGCGGUAAUACGUAGGACGCAAGCGUUAUCCGGAUUUAUUGGGUUUAAAGGGUGCGUAGGCGGGCCUUUAAGUCAGUGGUGAAAGUUUAUCGCUUAACGGUAAGAUUGCCAUUGAUACUGGAGGCCUUGAGUGCAGAUGAGGUAGGCGGAAUGUGUAGUGUAGUGGUGAAAUACUUAGAGAUUACACAGAACACCGAUUGCGAAGGCAGCUUACUAAAUUGCAACUGACGCUGAGGCACGAAAGCGUGGGGAUCAAACAGGAUUAGAAACCCGUGUAGUCC
rnacentral:rRNA from 1 species